rnacentral:rRNA from 1 species
CGUGUAGGCGGCUCAUCAAGUCUGGUGUGAAAACGCAGGGCUUAACCCUGCAGAUGCGCUGGAAACUGGUGGGCUGGAGUUCUUGAGGGGAAGCUGGAAUUCCAGGUGUAGGGGUGAAAUCUGUAGAUAUCUGGAAGAACACCGGUGGCGAAGGCGAGCUUCUAUCAGAGGACUGACGCUGAGGCGCGAAAGCGUGGGGAGCAAACAGGAUUAGAUACCCUGGUAGUCCACGCUGUAAACGAUGUGCACUAGGCGUGGGGCCCGUACGGGUUCUGUGCCGUAGUUAACGUGUUAAGUGCACCGCCUGGGGAGUAUGCUCGCAAGGGUGAA